rnacentral:rRNA from 1 species
AUUGAACGCUGGCGGCAUGCCUUACACAUGCAAGUCGAACGGCAGCACGGGAGCAAUCCUGGUGGCGAGUGGCGAACGGGUGAGUAAUAUAUCGGAACGUGCCCAGUCGUGGGGGAUAACGUAGCGAAAGCUACGCUAAUACCGCAUACGAUCUAUGGAUGAAAGCGGGGGAUCGCAAGACCUCGCGCGAUUGGAGCGGCCGAUAUCAGAUUAGGUAGUUGGUGAGGUAAGGCUCACCAAGCCGACCGAUCUGUAGCUGGUCUGAGAGGACGACCAGCCACACUGGGACUGAGACACGGCCCAGACUCCUACGGGAGGCAGCAGU